rnacentral:rRNA from 1 species
CCUACGGGAGGCAGCAGUAGGGAAUAUUGCUCAAUGGGGGAAACCCUGAAGCAGCAACGCCGCGUGGAGGAUGAAGGUUUUCGGAUUGUAAACUCCUUUUGUUAGAGAAGAUAAUGACGGUAUCUAACGAAUAAGCACCGGCUAACUCCGUGCCAGCAGCCGCGGUAAUACGGAGGGUGCAAGCGUUACUCGGAAUCACUGGGCGUAAAGAGCGCGUAGGCGGGAUAGCAAGUCAGAUGUGAAAUCCUAUGGCUUAACCAUAGAACUGCAUUUGAAACUGUUAUUCUAGAGUAUGGGAGAGGGAGGUGGAAUUCGUGGGGUAGGGGUAAAAGCAGUAGAGAAAAAGAGGAAUACUCAUGGCGAAGGGGACCGGAAAGAACAUAACUGACGCGGAUGCGCGAAAGCGUGGGGAGAAAACAGGAUUAGAUACCCGAGUAGUC